rnacentral:rRNA from 1 species
GCCGGUGUCAAACCGGAGGAAGGUGGGGAUGACGUCAGUCCUCAUGGCCUUUAUGCCCAGGGCUACACACGUGCUACAAUGGGCGGUACAAAGAGCAGCGAGCUCGCGAGAGUAAGCAAAUCUCAAAAAAGCCGUCCUCAGUUCGGGUUGGAGUCUGCAACUCGACUCCAUGAAGUUGGAGUUGCUAGUAAUCGCGGAUCAGAAUGCCGCGGUGAAUGCGUUCCCGGGUCUU